rnacentral:lncRNA from 1 species
AGGAGGAAAGGAAACAAUUUUUGCAUGCCUACUCUAAGCCCAGCUUUGUGCUUGACAUUCCCUAUGCCUUUCAGUUCAACAGUGUUUUAAAAUCUGAAUUUCCAGACUAGGUUUUUCUCCUCUUGGUUGUAGAUAUGGCUUCAGCAUUUCUUAACUGGGUGAUACCAGGAAGAUCACUGAACCCUGUGAACCUCAAUCUUCUAAUUUGGAGGAGGGAGCCCAAAUGCAAUUGAGGUGAUCAGGGGAUAGGCUUUGAGAUAAUGCCACUGAGACAUCACUGCUACUACCAACAUGGCUGUUUCAUGACCUCGUGUAAGAAGACUUCUCACGCCGUCCCUGUUCAUGAAUCAUAACCAGAGGUAGGGUCUUGACCACAGAGGCUGAUAACACCAUUGGACUCUGGUUUUGCAUUCUGGAUUCGGAAGCUGCAUUAUUUUCUACACAUUCCAAGAGUGGAACCUGAGACUGAGGAGAUUAAGCAACUUCAAAUUUCAAGUCUUACUUGAUGAAUAACUGAUGGAGCCAAGAGGGUGAAUUCAGGAUAUUAAGAAAGCCUAUAGAUUAUUGCUUAGGCCACUUCCUCACAGACUCUUUCAGUAUCAUGAGAAUUCUUCUUGUUGUUUAUCAUUAAUAAAAAAGUUCCAGAAAUACCACCUUAAACAGAGCAAGUCACGUGGACGUUGGAUCUGAUAUGCAGGACAUACUGGCAGAUGUAAUUGAGCAAGGUUCAAGACAAUGCCACUCCGGUACAAGUCAUAACCAUAUCCAGAUCUGGUUUGUAUAGGUGACUGAGAUAACCUCAGCCUCAUCUCAGGAAGUGGCCACUUUUGGAGAGUCCGACUAUCACGGUAGGCACAGAACUCUGCCAUGUCACUAGCUGAAUGACCUCGGAUGUCACUUCAACUCUGAGCCUUAGAACUUGUCAACUGCAAAGUGGGGCACUUCACCGAGCUACAUCAUUGAGCUACUUCACUGAGCUACUUCAUUGAAUUGGGAAAAUUAAAGGAGCAAAUAUGGGAGAAGGAUUUGGCCCAUAGUAAACACUAUGACUGUCCGUCUUCUGCCAUCUUUCAGUAGACCCAGUGGAAUUAUAUGAAGGUUGAUAGGCACUUAAACCAAGAAUAUAUGAACAUCUAUUCUGUGCAAGAUGUGUGCAUUGAACUCAGUCCAGGACUGAAGGGGACAGGAGGAAGCAAACUUGGAAAUCAUGUCUUAGAGAUCAAGGAGCCAAGAGAUGAGACAAGCCUGGGUUCCUAGGUGAUAGGGUGUGGCUGUGUCCCCACCCAAAUCUCGUCUUGAAUUGUAGCUCCCAUAAUCCCCACAUGUUGUGGAGGGACCCUGUGGAAGAUUGUGCCUGCAGCCUGGCCUGUUGCCCACAGCGGUCUACCUGCCACACUGGGAAAGAUCGAGCAGAGACAGAGAAGAAAAGGAGGCUCCAUUUUUCAGGCUGCUCUCCCGCAGGCUCAUGUUUUGUGUUCAUGCCAGGCAGAGAACACAAAAUGUUCCAAUAAAUAAGUAUCAAAGGUUAGUGGUGAAAAUGAAGGAGGAGGAGGCAUUGCGUGAAAAACUAAACAUGCAAAAUAUUACACACAAAGAGAACCAAAAUGCAGGUUCACUGGAAAUGAUAGACAAUAUGUUAAAACAAGAGGAGAGAAGAGAGCUGAAAUAAUCAAAUGGAAACACACAAUUUAGGGCUAAGAUCUUGUUGUGUUCAGCCACAAAUGAUGGCCAGCAGUGAGGAAUCUGUGUGUUCUCCACACUCUUCGCUCCUGGGAAGUCAACUCACAUGGACCAUGAUAUCAAUAUCUGCUCCUUCCCCUAAUAUCUGUUUGACCUUGGGUCAGUUACUUAAACUUCCUAAGCCUUAGUUUCUUUGUCUGGAAAAUAGGGAUAGUUAUACCUACCACACAACCACUUUGUAAUGAAUAUGUUGGAAAUUAUAUGCAAAUUGGCUUCCGUUGGUGUUUGGAACAUAGUAGGUUUUUAACUGGAAUAUAAUAGCUACCAUUAUCAGUAUCAUCAUAUUAAUUUAUAUUUCCAUCUUCAGCCCUUAACCCAGGAUCUUCAGUAAAUGUUGAAUUCUCAAAUUUGUUAAAUUCACUUGUCUAUACUAAUAUUUUACUCUAGGUUUCUUAGAAUAUUCUAGAUAAUAUUAUUAUGUAGAAUAUGUUAUGUAAGCUUCAUCUUAUCUGUAAAUAUAGUUUUACUUUUUCCUUUCUAAUUUUUAUGUCGAUUACUUCUUUUUCUUGGCUUAUUGAAUUGGCUAGGAUUCCCGUACAGUGUUGAAUACGUGCAGCAAGACUGCACAUCUUGCCUUGUUCCUGGUCCCACAGAGAGAAUAUCCAGUACUUCACAAUAAGUAUGUGUUAAUUGUAGAUUUUAUUAGAUUGAGGAAGUUCCCUUUCCUUUCAAGUCAGUCUUUUUAUUUUAAACAUGUAUUGAAGUUUUGUCAAAUGUCUUCAUCUAUUGGAAUAAUUAUACAUAUCUCUUUUUUAUUCUGUUAAUAUUACAUUUCAAUCUUCUGUCUACCUAAAAUCCCUAGAAUAAUCUCCAUUUGGCUAUGAUGUGUUGUGCUUUUAUAUAUUACUGAAUUCUAUAUGCCAAUAUUAUUAAAAUUUUCUGUCUUUAUGAGAAAUAUUUGAAUGUAUAUUUUUUCAUGUAUUUGUUUUGAUUUUAUUUUCAAUGCCAUUUUGUAAAAGAGCAUUAAAGUGUUAGUAUGAAAGUACUUACUCACCCUCUAUUUCAUGAAUAUGUUUUUAUAAGACUAUCAUUAUUCCUUCCUUAAAUGGUUUAUAGAAUGUGCUUCUUUGGAGUUU